rnacentral:rRNA from 1 species
AUUGAACGCUGGCGGCAUGCUUUACACAUGCAAGUCGAACGGCAGCGCGGGGCAACCUGGCGGCGAGUGGCGAACGGGUGAGUAAUAUAUCGGAACGUACCCAAGAGUGGGGGAUAACGUAGCGAAAGUUACGCUAAUACCGCAUACGAUCUCAGGAUGAAAGCGGGGGAUCGCAAGACCUCGCGCGAUUGGAGCGGCCGAUAUCAGAUUAGGUAGUUGGUGGGGUAAAGGCUCACCAAGCCGACGAUCUGUAGCUGGUCUGAGAGGACGACCAGCCACACUGGGACUGAGACACGGCCCAGACUCCUACGGGAGGCAGCAGUGGGGAAUUUUGGACAAUGGGCGAAAGCCUGAUCCAGCCAUGCCGCGUGCAGGAUGAAGGCCUUCGGGUUGUAAACUGCUUUUGUACGGAACGAAAAGGUUUGGCCUAAUAAGCUGAGCUCAUGACGGUACCGUAAGAAUAAGCACCGGCUAACUACGUGCCAGCCGCCGCAGUAAGAC